rnacentral:rRNA from 1 species
UACGUAGGGUGCGAGCGUUAAUCGGAGUUACUGGGCGUAAAGCGUGCGCAGGCGGUUUUGUAAGCCAGAUGUGAAAUCCCCGGGCUUAACCUGGGAAUGGCAUUUGGGACUGCAAGGCUGGAGUGUGGCAGAGGAGACUGGAAUUCCCGGUGUAGCAGUGAAAUGCGUAGAUAUCGGGAGGAAUACCGAUGGCGAAGGCAGGUCUCUGGGCUGACACUGACGCUCAUGCACGAAAGCGUGGGGAGCAAACAGG